rnacentral:misc_RNA from 1 species
AAUGUCGUAACAAGGUUUCCGUAGGUGAACCUGCGGAAGGAUCAUUAAUGAGUUAGGGUUCUCCGGGCCCGGACCUCCGACCCUUUCGUUGUCACAAAAUCCAAUUUGUUGCUUUGGCGUGGACCGCCCGCGUGGGCUGCCGGUCUUAGGCCCGGCAUGCGCCCGCCAGAGGAAAACCCAAAGCUCUUGUUUAUCAAAUCCGUACGUCUGAGUAAAAAGUGAUUAAAUUCAAUCAAAAU